CCGUAAAUUAAUCCAAGUGUUUUAUUAAAAUAAAUGUAUUUACUUCAAAGAAAAGAAAAACUAUAUUACCCUAAAUGGAAUAUUAGUGUCAGUGCCAUAAAUAAAAACAAUACACAUAUCACAAUGGAAAGAAAGUAAUGUUAUUAAAAUCUAGCUCGAUAAAGUUGCCUCUUUAAGACUGAGCCUGUGAUGGUUACUAUUGUGUCAACUUGAUUGGAUUGAAGAUUGCAAAGUAUUGUCCCUGGGUGUGUCUGUGCGGGUGUUGCUAAAGGAGAUCAACAUUGGAGUCAGUGGACUGGGAGAGGCAGACCCACCCUCCAUCUAGGUGGGAACCAUCUAAUCAGCUGCCAGCAGGCAGAGGAAUGUGGGAGGCCUAGACUGGCUGAGUCUUCCAGCCUUCAUCUUUCCCCCAUGCUGGAUGCUUCCUGCCCUUGAACAUCGGACUCCAGGUUCUUCAGCUUCUGGACUCUUGGACCUACACCAGUGGUUUGCCAGGGGCUCUCAGGCCUUUGGCCACUGACCGAAGGUUGCACUGUCGGCUUCCCUACUUGUGAGGUUUUGGGACUCGGACUGGAUUCCUUGCUCCUCAGCUUGCAGACGGCCUAUUGCGGGACUUCACUUUGUGUUCGCAACCAUGGGGUGGAUAAUAAGAAUGAGCUUCAGCUGUAGCCUCAAGGGAUCGAGAGCGCCACUGAAAACCCCACACUGCCCAAAAGGCCUCUAAAUCAGGAUCCCGACUGCCCCACACAUGAAGAACAGAACUUUGACUCUCAGUAAGAUCCUGUGGCCACUUCCACUGUGAGCAGGGAACUAUCCUUCCCCUAAACAAGGAUGCGGACAGAAGUGGGGCUCCACCUCUGCAGACCCGGAAGUGAUGCCAGAGAUGCAUACGGAGAGUCCUAUCCACAAAACUACAAGUGUCUGCUCUGCACCUCUGUCUAAUUAUGAUCCAGUGUCUUCACACCCCCCAGGGACAAGAGACUUGUUUGUUCGAGCUGACAUAUCUAUUAUUACUCCUUAGGUAGUUAGGAGAAUCAUUUGCAGUGUUCAUUAAUCAGUAUCACCUUAUGGAUUACUAAACAGCAGCACUGCUUUAGCUAAUGAGCCCCAGUAGUGUAAUAUUUUACAUAUUUUAUAGCAAGACAAUUAAGCAAUGUCUUGCUUUUAUAGCAGACCUUAAAAUAAAUCAUCUGAGAUACAAAGAGGAGAACAGGUAACAGUGCAUAUAGUGUAUUUGCUACUAGAACUGGGGAAGUUAAACUCUUCUCCACCCAACCCCUUGUUACACACAUACUCUACCUACAUAGAAAUAACAGGUUUUCAGAGCUUUUUUGCUCAAUUUCCUAGCUUCAGAAUUACAAAGUACUUAUGUAAAAUGUGUAUGGUUCAUAGGCAGAGAAGACAAGGGAAAGAAGGAAAGAUGAAUAAGCUGUGUUUCGUCAUUGUAGGCAAGAAGGGAUGAAAAAUGCUAGUAUGUAUUGAAUGUCCAACUAUGCUGGGUGUUCGUAUCCACCCCUCAUUUAACUUUCAUAAAAUCCUGUGAGGUAGGUGUGAUGGCUAAUAUUGAGUGUCAACUUGAUUGGAUUGAAGGAUGCAAAGUAUUAUUCCUGGGUAUGUCUGUGAGGGUGUUGCCAAAGAAGAUUAAUAUUUGAGUCGGCGGACUGGGAGAGGCAGACCCACCCUCAAUCUGGGUGGGCACCAUCUAAUCAGCUGCCAGUGUGGCUAGAAUAAAAGCAGGCAGAAGAUGGAAGAGCAGACUUUCUGAGUGUUCCUGCUUUCAUCUUUCUCCCAUGCUGGAUGCUUCCUGCCCUCAAACAUUAGACUUUAAGUUCUUCAACUUUUGAACUCUUGGACCAGUGGUUUGCCAGGGCUCUUUAGGCCUUUGGCCACAGAAUAAAGGCUGUACUGUCGGCUUUCCUAUCUUUGAGGCUUUGGGACUCGGACUCAUCCACCAGUGGCUUCCUUGCUCCUCAACUUGCAGACGACCUAUUGCGGGACUCUACCUUGUGAUUGUCCUCUGUACCCAAAGAUUGGAUGAACCAGUGGCAAGAAAAUGCCAGGUGGAAACAUCCCAACAGACAGUCCAUGAGCGAUGGUGGAACUCUGUGCUGCACCACCCACAUGCCUCGCAGCUGAGUCCUUCUCCAGAACUUUCCUUCACCUGGAGGAAGGUGCCUAGUUCAAGGUUACCCCCCUCCCUGGGGCAGCUAGCAUCCAAGGACUGGUCCAAGCAGGAGUACAAAGACCCAGUCCCCAGCCUCAUUCAGGUCAUCUCUGAAAGGCCAUCCCAGCUCCAGGGUCCCAUGGGGUCUGCAACUGAAUCACAGCCCAACAUCUCCCUCCACCCCAUCCUCCUUCCCUGAUUUGUUUGUAGGUUUUGUUCCUAAGUGCAUUUCCUAAUCGAUGUCCUGCAUGCUAAUUUGUGUCUCAGACACAAUUCAGUCUCCAGCACGUUUGUGUCCCUGUUCAUAGCCAAGACCCAUGGGCCAACCCCUUACCCUUGUCAUUCAGAAGAGAUGAUGAGAUCACAGCCUCUAAGAUAUGGUUCAUUCACAAAUACACUCUAGCACAUUCUCAGAUGACCUCUUCCCCAUCUCUGUGCUAGCCAACGCUUCAAAAAGGGCUCCCCUCAAGCUUAAAUUUCGGUGAAGGAGCUCCCCUUCCCUUUCUAAUUUCAUCUCCUUUCAUGAUCUUGAUUCUGGAGCCCUGCCCUUGUUCAGCACCUGUCUUGGGUCCAGGUCAGAAGCGGACCUUUAGAGGAAAAUGAAAAUUUAUCUUACCACACCUGCACGGUGGCUCACACCUAUAAUCGCAGCAUUUUGGGAGGCCAAGGCAGCCAGAUCAUUUGAGGUCAGGAGUUCAAGACCAGCCUAGCCGACAUGGGGAAACCCCGUCUCUAUUAUAAAUACAAAAAUUAGCCAGGUGUGGUGGUGCAUGCCUGUAGUCCUAGCUACUAGGGAAGCUGAGGCAAAAUAAUUGCUUGAACCCAGGAGGUGGUUCAAGCAGUAAGCUGAGAUUGUGCCACUGCACUCCAACCUGGGUGACAAAGUGAGACUUCGUCUCAAAAAACAAAAGAUUGUAUCUCAUCUAAAGGUCUGGAUUCAUGAGUAAUUAAGGAAGUGCUCCCAGGAAAGAUUGGAGGGAGGACAUGGUGGGGGAGCAAGACAGAGAGAAAUGAGAAGAGUGCAGUUUCAGGUGAAGUCCCAGCCCCAGCAGGGGACCAGUCCCAUGGGGAGCUCUAAAGGAGUUUGCCCUGCCUCGAGCCGAGAAAGCUGGGCUUUCAUAUCCCUGCUCCAGGCAGUCCUUAGCUGCAAACCUUUCCAGGGGCACAUCAGCCCUAGGGCACGUACAGCCCUCUGCCUGAACAAAGUGGCUCCAGUAGCUCUAAGGUAGCAUCUUGGAGAGCGAAGGGAAGCAGAGCACAGAGAAGCUUGUGGGUGGGCACCCAAAAAGGGCAAAGGGAACCCCCUUUCACAUGAAGGACAGUGCUCCAGCAGCCCCCUCUACAGCACCACCAGUGACAUCUAACUCAGGAGUGGAAAACACAGAGGGCUUGCA
rnacentral:lncRNA from 10 species